CUAAUUUUCCUAUUAGUUCAACAGAAAAAAAGGACAUUAACAAAAACGUAUGCUUCUUUCGAAGGCAGAUUGUGAGUGUAAAUGAACGGUGACCCCAUUUUUUUGUUUCAUUUUUCUAUUAAGUAUAAGAUAAAGUUCAUUUAUAGAAAAAUAUAGAGAAAUCCUAUAUUAAAUAAAAAAAUUCAUUAAGACCCGCAAGCCCCC
rnacentral:lncRNA from 1 species